rfam:Triticum urartu cultivar G1812 contig1198417, whole genome shotgun sequence.
GACGCACUCCCUCCGUUCUGAAUUACUUGUCUCGUAAAUGGAUGUAUCUAGAAUUAAAAUACGUCUAGAUACAUCCAUUUCUGCGACAAGUAAUUCCGAACGGAGGGAGUAUGUA